AGCUAAUUUUCUAGGGUUAGCUUAGGGUUCUUCUGGUUUGACUUCGAUUUUUAUUUUUUCUUGUUUAAUAUUCUAAUUUUGUAAUUGUAAGUAAGUUCUUAUUUUCAAUGCAACUUAUAUCUUUAUGAUUUGAUCAUCUUAGUUUUUGUUGUUAUUGGUGGGUGUGGUAAAUAUUCAUUCUUUAUGUGAAUCGAGUCUCUGUUUUGUACUACCAAGUUGGUUAAUUAGAUUGAAUUGGGCCAUUAGCCUUUUGAUGGGUAUUCAUAUUUCAAGUGAUGAAAUUUCAAAUUCAAUUUCAGUUCUUUCUUUUAUCAUUUUGGUUAUAAUCUAGCUUUUUUUGGGGUAAUUUGUUAGAGUCAUUGUUAUUAGUGAUCUUGUAUUGGAAUUCUGGAUAUGGGUUGUUUCAGUUUUCUCGUUUACUUGGAUUUGGUAGCUUCUUGGUCAGGUGUUUUGAUCUGCUAAGAGAAAUCAGUUCUCCCUAUUGAUAUGUGUUUGUGCUUUUUUAUGGCGUUGACCAUUAAAAGUUUCUGCCGCCUUGGGAUGCAGAUUGGUAGCUUUUAAUGGAAGUAUUGGCUUGGAUUAUUUGGUUCUCGAUGUAUGAGUAAUAACGUCUUAUCAUGUUCAUUAAUAUUGGUUUGAUAUGCAUGCUAACAAUUCAUUAGAUAUUCAUUAAUAUUGGUUUGAUAUGCAUGCUAACGAUUCAUUAGAUAUCAGAUUUUCUAAUAGAAAGGGGGUUUCUAUGAGAAAUGGGGUUGUGUUUCAUAUAAAUGUUUUGUUUGUAAGCUUCUAGUUUAGUUUUUUCAUGGUUAUCAACUAAUUGUCUAUGAAAUUGGUUUAUGCAUGUCACUUACUUCCCUUUUCUAUUUUUGGGUUAAGAUGUUUUCUUUCAAAAUUCUUAGGUUUGGUUUUUUGUUUAUUGCCUACUUGUUUACUUUUGGCUCAUUUUUCAAUCCUUGGUGCCUUCUCAAUUUAUGGGAGGAAUGAUGCUGGCCUAGCUUCUGGUGUUACAUUAGUUGUUUCUUUGAUUGUUUUGAACCUCCCUUGUCCAUUACUGGAUGCAGUUUCGAGUGUCACCUUAAGAGUACUGAUUCUUAUUGGAAGGACUGGAGUGUUUUCUAUUUCAAGCACAUGGCUAUGGGGACUUCAUCUGCAUUUAUGCAUAAAGCCCCCAGGAUUUGACUACAAUUUUGCAACAUCAACAUGGGUUUUACUCCAAGUCUACCAAUUCAACUUCCUCACUCUGAUUUAAUACGUGGGCAUGUUUAUUGUUGCUUCGUUUUUCCUUUCAGGAAACUUGCUCAGGCUUCUUGGCAAAGAGCCUCCAGACUUGUCAAGAGUAGGAAUUCUAGUUUGUAUAAUUUGGGUGGUUUUGCAUCAUUGGUACACUUGUGAUCAAAUGUUCAAAGGGUAUCAAAAUUCAGAGGUUCAUUGGACCAUGCACAUCUUUGGAGAAGGUAGACAAUUUGGUCAUUUAGAACUUGCUUUUAUCUACAUUAAUGUCAGUGAUUAGAAUUAAUGAAAUACAUUUGGUAAGAUUUGUGUUUGUGGAGUUUGAUGUUAAUUUUGCAAGUCUUGUAGAAGGGACCUGUUUUUGCUGAUAUUGCUACAGGGAACGGGAAUAUAACAACUUGGAAAAUGUACAAGAAGGCAGAGCUAACUCAUACACCGAAGAAUAAAUUGAUGAAGUUCAUAUUAAAUUAGUAGAAUUUGUGAACCACAUGUAGCUCCUUUAUUUCUAAUUAUAGGUAGGAAGUAUGUAAUAGAGUAAAGAUUGAUUGACUAUGUAAUGAUUAUUGAAUCUUCAAGUUAUAUUAAAGAAAUAAAUUUU